AACGAACGCUGGCGGCAGGCCUAACACAUGCAAGUCGAACGCCCCGUUCGGGUCGUGGCAGACGGGUGUGUAUCGCGCGGGGACAUACCCUUUUCUACGGGAUAUAUCUGGGAGACUGGGAUUAUAAUCGUAUACGCUCUACGGGGGAAAGAUUUAUCGGGGAAGGAUUGGCCCGCGUUGGAUUAGCUAGUUGGUGGGGUAAAGGCCUACCAAGGCGACGAUCCAUAGCUGGUCUGAGAGGAUGAUCAGCCACAUUGGGACUGAGACACGGCCCACACUCCUACGGGAGGCAGCAGUGGGGAAUAUUGGACAAUGGGCGAAAGCCUGAUCCAGCCAUGCCGCGUGAGUGAUGAAGGCCUUAGGGUUGUAAAGCUCUUUUACCGGUGAAGAUAAUGACGGUAGUCGGAGAAGAAGCCCCGGCUAACUUCGUG
rnacentral:rRNA from 1 species